GAGACAGCAGUCGCCGCGGUAAAACGGAGGGUGCAAGCGUUAUCCGGAUUUAUUGGGUUUAAAGGGUCCGUAGGCGGAUCUGUAAGUCAGUGGUGAAAUCUCACAGCUUAACUGUGAAACUGCCAUUGAUACUGCAGGUCUUGAGUAAAUUUGAAGUGGCUGGAAUAAGUAGUGUAGCGGUGAAAUGCAUAGAUAUUACUUAGAACACCAAUUGCGAAGGCAGGUCACUAAGAUUUAACUGACGCUGAUGGACGAAAGCGUGGGGAGCGAACAGGAUUAGAUACCCCAGUAGUCCCUGUCUCUUAUAC
rnacentral:rRNA from 1 species